CAUAUUUGUGACUCAUUAAGAGAAUUGAGAUAUAUCUGGUAUUGUUUAGACUACAAUGAUGGCAUGAGGCGUUUGGAUCUGAUCCGGACCUGAAUUGUGAACCCUGUACUCAACACCCUCAACUUAAAUCUUUAGGUAUUGGCAGGCAGCAGGGGAGAGGAAAGGAGAGAAUCCCAUGAAAACACCCAUUCCCUACAUUAUCAUAUUCGGCAUGCCACCCCACCAAAUAGUAUACAUGAAUCUCACUUGGCAGGCAUCCUUGCGAGCAGUCUGAGCAUAUGACAUAAAGAUGAGACAGUGGCAAAGUUCAGUUUUGAGAUUCAAGUCGGCAAAGAGCACUUCCAUUUUUGAGUAACAAAAGUGCACGAUUAGCAGAGGCGACUCAACAAAAUUCAAGGAGCAGGUACUGCUCAUUGCUGUUUAUUUGCAUUCAUAUGUUACUGCAGCUGCCUGCUCAUAACAAGUGAAGAGGUGAAAUUUCACUUCUUUCAACUUUGAGGGAUGCUUGUAUCUGUGCCAGUGUUGACACAGUGAGGACAACAUUCAUCUUUUAACUGAGGAAAUCCACAUCGGCAAUCAGUAAGGCCCUUACAAGUGGCUUUUAGGAAGAUCAAUACUUACUCUAACUCCUAGCACAUAUAAUGUUGCAAAGGUUUUUCUAAUAGGUCAGAGAUACUAGCAAUUUUUAGAAGCCCCUCUUGCGCACUUACAGCUAUGCCAUAAAGAAGAAAGAUGAGACCAACUGCAGAUUUAUUUGAAUCAUUGCUGGCUUUGGUGGUUGACAUGCCUUCCUCACUUUAGAUGGUAUGAACAAUAGAUCUUGCAAUGCACUUGCUAACCU